rnacentral:rRNA from 1 species
GACGAACGCUGGCGGCGUGCUUAACACAUGCAAGUCGAACGGAAAGGCCCUGCUUUUGUGGGGUGCUCGAGUGGCGAACGGGUGAGUAACACGUGAGUAACCUGCCCUUGACUUUGGGAUAACUUCAGGAAACUGGGGCUAAUACCGGAUAGGAGCUCCUGCUGCAUGGUGGGGGUUGGAAAGUUUCGGCGGUUGGGGAUGGACUCGCGGCUUAUCAGCUUGUUGGUGGGGUAGUGGCUUACCAAGGCUUUGACGGGUAGCCGGCCUGAGAGGGUGACCGGCCACAUUGGGACUGAGAUACGGCCCAGACUCCUACGGGAGGCAGCAGUGGGGAAGAUUGCACAAUGGGUGGAAGCCUGAUGCAGCAACGCCGCGUGCGGGAUGACGGCCUUCGGGUUGUAAACCGCUUUCGCCUGUGACGAAGCGUGAGUGACGGUAAUGGGUAAAGAAGCACCGGCUAACUACGUG